rnacentral:rRNA from 1 species
GACGAACGCUGGCGGCGUGCUUAACACAUGCAAGUCGAGCGGUAAGGCCCUUUCGGGGGUACACGAGCGGCGAACGGGUGAGUAACACGUGGGUGACCUGCCCUCAGCUCUGGGAUAAGCCUGGGAAACUGGGUCUAAUACCGGAUAUGACUCCAUGACGCAUGUUGUGGGGUGAAAGCCUUGUGCGGCUGAGGAUGGGCCCGCGGCCUAUCAGCUUGUUGUGGGGUGANGGCCUACCAAGGCGACGACGGGUAGACCGGCCCUGAGAGGGCGACCGGGCCACACUGGGACUGAGACACGGCCCAGACUCCUACGGGAGGCAGCAGUGGGGAAUCUUGCGCAAUGGGCGAAAGCCUGACGC